UUUUUGAAGCAAACCAAAACAAAUGUGAUUAUAUGGUCCUGAACUAGACGUUUUUGAGGAACUUCCAGACUUGCCUUUAUAUUCCGUGAGAUACCACCGUAUCACCAUAAGACUUCAGAUUAAUUCUGUCGACUGCGCAGGUCAAAAAUAGCAUGCACUGACUCCAUCAGAAUUCAAGAUGUGUAUCCUGGAGUUCCAGUUUCUGGAGGAACCACAGUUAACUGCUGGCCACUUUUGCUCCAGCUAGAGGAGUCCAUGGACCACUGGACAGGAUGGAAAGUUCCACAAGGUGAGCACCUUCCAGGGAGUCUUGCCCCAUGACCCACAGGGUUGAGUCUCCCCAUGAAGGACUGAGUGCCUA
ensembl:lncRNA